GAUGAACGCUGGCGGCAUGCCUAAUACAUGCAAGUCGAGCGAACGGACAAUAAGCUUGCUCUUUUGCUGUUAGCGGCGGACGGGUGAGUAACACGUGGAUAACCUACCUAUAAGACUGGGAUAACUUCGGGAAACCGGAGCUAAUACCGGAUAAUAUUUUGAACCGCAUGGUUCAAAAGUGAAUGACGGUUUUGCUGUCACUUAUAGAUGGAUCCGCGCUGCAUUAGCUAGUUGGUAAGGUAACGGCUUACCAAGGCGACGAUGCAUAGCCGACCUGAGAGGGUGAUCGGCCACACUGGAACUGAGACACGGUCCAGACUCCUACGGGAGGCAGCAGUAGGGAAUCUUCCGCAAUGGGCGAAAGCCUGACGGAGCAACGCCGCGUGAGUGAUGAAGGUCUUCGGAUCGUAAAACUCUGUUAUUAGGGAAGAACAGAUGUGUAAGUAACUGUGCACAUCUUGACGGUACCUAAUCAGAAAGCCACGGCUAACUACGUG
rnacentral:rRNA from 1 species